rnacentral:rRNA from 1 species
CCUACGGGAGGCAGCAGUGGGGAAUAUUGCACAAUGGGGGAAACCCUGAUGCAGCGACGCCGCGUGAGUGAAGAAGUAUUUCGGUAUGUAAAGCUCUAUCAGCAGGGAAGAGAAUGACGGUACCUGAGUAAGAAGCCCCGCCUAACUACUGGCCAGCAGCCGGGGUAAUACGUAGGGGGCAAGCGUUAGCCGGAUUUACUGGGUGUAAGGGGGGCGUAGACGGCGAAGAAAGUCUGAAGUGAAAGCCCGCGGCUCAACCGCGGAACUGCUUUGGAAACUUUUUUGCUGGAGUACCGGAGAGGUAAGCGGAAUUCCUAGUGUAGCGGUGAAAUGCGUAGAUAUUAGGAGGAACACCAGUGGCGAAGGCGGCUUACUGGACGGUAACUGACGUUGAGGCUCGAAAGCGUGGGGAGCAAACAGGAUUAGAUACCCGAGUAGUC